AUGCCAGAGGGCCCCGGGGCCGCGUCCCCGCCUCGCGCGGCGCCCGGCGGCCAGGGCCCGGCGGCAGCGGCGGCGGCCGAGGCGGAGCCCGCCAAGGAGGAGCCGCUGGGCCGCUCGUCGCUGUUCCAGGACAAGGCGAACCUUUACCCGCCGAGCAACACGCCGGGCGAGGGGCUGAGCCACGGCGGCGGCCCGCGGCCCAACGGGCAGACGAAGCCGCUGCCGGCGCUGAAGCUGGCGCUGGAGUACAUCGUGCCGUGCAUGAACAAGCACGGCAUCUGUGUGGUGGACGACUUCCUGGGCAAGGAGACCGGCCAGCAGAUUGGCGAGGAGGUGCGCGCCCUGCACGACACCGGCAAGUUCACGGACGGCCAGCUGGUCAGCCAGAAGAGCGACUCGUCCAAGGACAUCCGAGGCGAUAAGAUCACCUGGAUCGAGGGCAAGGAGCCCGGCUGUGAAACCAUUGGGCUGCUUAUGAGCAACAUGGACGACCUGAUACGCCACUGUAACGGGAAGCUGGGCAACUACAAAAUCAAUGGCCGGACGAAAGUAAGUGUUGCUCAGGGUUUGCGCUGGACCGCCCUCCCUGGGCGGCAGCCCUCUGCGCGCGACAGGUGCCGCGUAAGGCGAGGAGCCCCGAGUCUCUAUCAGAGGGGUCCCCUUGUGUAGCACCCGGUAGAGAGGACGGAUGUGAUCCGUCAUUAGGUGGUUAGCUAGCCGGUUUCUCCCCGGCCGCUGCUUUCCACUUACUGCCCGUUUACAAAUUUCUCUGUCUAAUUGCGUGGGCUCGACCUUAAACUUUGCUGCCUUCUCUCUCCCAUUGCAUUAUUACUUCAAACCCAGUUGGAGUUUUAGCCGCCCAGUGGGGAGUAUUAAAGUACUACCCAAAGCAAAUGCUGAUUCUGCGUCUGCCCUGUGUUUGCAUUCGCUCCUCCAUUCUCUGUGAUCUUUGAACCACUCGUCAGAUUUUAACCUACAGAGUCGGAUGCCGUGUUUGGUUAAGAAUCUGCCCGCCGACCACAGAAAGGUAAAUUUAAAAUAAUCAUGUAGUCAAGAGCCUUCAUAUCAGGAAGAGCUUGGCCUCUCCCCUCCCCCUCUCCCUGUCCCUGCUGUUUUAAAAUCCACUACAAAACGGGGAAAGAAGUAUUUCCGUUUUCAGACCUCUCAGUUGUAGGCAGGUUACAUUUUUAGCAUGGGUUUCCUUCAUUUGCUUUGUUAAUGCAAUCCCUCCGUUUUGUAGCUUCCUGGGGGAAAAAAGCAUGGAAUUGGAAGGGGAGGGAGGGCUCGUGAAAUUGGUGAAAUCUCUUUGUUUUCUCUUUACGAUUGUAGUUUUUCCCUAACAGGUUCUUCAGUUCCCACCUAGUGUAAUCCCUCUCCCUCCUCAGUGUGGUGAACAGUAGUAGACUCUUUCCUCCUUAAUACUCUCUUGCUGUUCUUUUGCAUUUUGCUUCCCAAAUA